rnacentral:rRNA from 1 species
AGAGUUUGAUUAUGGCUCAGAUUGAACGCCUGCGGCAGGCUUAACACAUGCAAGUCGAGCGGGGAAAGGUAGCUUGCUACCUGACCUAGCGGCGGACGGGUGAGUAAUGCUUAGGAAUCUGCCUAUUAGUGGGGGACAACAUUCCGAAAGGAAUGCUAAUGCCGCAUACGCCCUACGGGGGAAAGCAGGGGAUCUUCGGACCUUGCGCUAAUAGAUGAGCCUAAGUCAGAUUAGCUAGUUGGUGGGGUAAAGGCCUACCAAGGCGACGAUCUGUAGCGGGUCUGAGAGGAUAACCAGCCACACUGGAACUGAGACACGGUCCAGACUCCUACGGGAGGCAGCAGUGGGGAAUAUUGCACAAUGGGGGAAACCCUGAUGCAGCCAUGCCGCGUGUGUGAAGAAGGCCUUCGGGUUGUAAAGCACUUUCAGCGAGGAGGAAAGGGUGGAAGCUAAUACGGUUUCAUCUGUGACGUUACUCGCAGAAGAAGCACCGGCUAAACUGCCGUGCCAGCAGCCGCGGUAAU